GAUGCAUGAUGCUCUCUAAACUGGGUCAUUCUCCACUUGGAGGGCUCAGGGCACGGUUGACUUUCCCCGUCUGUCUCCUAUACCACAGGCUCUGGGCAUCACCAGUGGCCCCAGGGAAAAAGAAAGAAAUGGGAAACAGCAUGAAAUCCGCCCCUGCACCUGCCGAGAGGCCCCUGCCCAACCCAGAGGGACUGGAUAGUGACUUCCUUGCCGUGCUGAGUGACUACCCGUCUCCUGACAUCAGCCCCCCGAUAUUCCGCCGAGGGGAGAAACUGCGUGUGAUUUCUGAGUGAGUCAGCUCUCCAAAACUUGUGCAAUCUUCAAAACAGGAUAAACUUGGUUUGGGUGAAAAGUAUUUGAUUUUUAGCUAGAGUGGUCUAGUUCCACGAGUCCUGGUCCUAUUAUGAGGUGAGAAAUUUGACACAUACUGCAACCCUCCUCUUUAAUGUGGCCAGUGCUCUAGAAAGUUCCAUAGCUCCCCACUGCCUGGUAGAUCAAAUUUAAAUUCCUUAACUUGUUUUUUGAGAUCCUUUAUGAUCCAACUUCUUCUCAUAUUCUUCUCAUCUCCCACCACAUGUGCAGUGUUGAUGCUAUGUAGGAAUGGAGACUGGGAAGGUGGCCCCAAGGUCUGGAAAUCCUUUGGAUGAGAAACAACAAAAAUUUGCCUUCUCUCCUCUUACCUCUGCAGUCUGAUUCAAUAUGGGCUACAGAACAUGACAGGAGUUCUAAGUCCCUUUUAUUUAGAUCUUCAUUGACGCAGAUAGGUGAAACUAUCUUUGGUUAUACUGCAGAGUAUAAAUCAAUAUAGUAAACAUUUAUUUUUAAAAAGCCUCCAAUAGUUGGGAACAUUAGCUGCUAAUCCCUGAAAAGCAGCUAUUUCUAGCACAUGGGA
rnacentral:sRNA from 1 species